AGAGAAACAAAUAAGGAAAGUUAGAAUAGGCCUCUUUCUCCUCAUCUCAUUUCUGGUAUGGUUAAGAGGAUUAGGUUGCAAAAUUCUUUUUUGCAUAAACUGGAUGAUAGGAAAUGAAGAAGAGACAGUUAAUGAAAUUUUAACAGAGACCCCUCCAUAGAUGGGAUUGACCGCAGACUACAGCCAUUCCAACGAACUUUGAAAAAUGCAGUACAAAGAGAUUAACCAUUGAUGACACAUAGCAACAUAAUUAUAUUAUGGAUUUUCUUUCUGUCAGGACUCAUGAUGUAGUAAUUUCCUGCUGGUAACAUGGUGACUCCAUGUAUUACUUGGGGUUCCCCUCUGUCAGCUGGGGCCAGAAUUAGUGGACCCAUGCUGGCCAAUGAGCUGUAUACAGUGGCGUCUCUAGGAUUCAUUUUUAGGGGGGGGGGGCACAUGGUGGGCCAGGGACUAAAGUAAGGUGGCACAUUUAACCCCGCCCUCACCGCAGUUUGACCCCAUCCCUGCCACAUGUUAAGCCCCGCCCCGACACAAUGUGUUUUUUUUUGUUUUUGUUUUUUUAAUAAUCCCUGUUGGAGAAUUCAUUAUUUUCCCCCAAGGAUUAUUAAAAAACAAACACAUUUCUCUUGAUACAGUCCAUACACACACACACACACAGACUGCUGAGUCCUUACACAAAGAGACACACAGACUGCUGACCAUACACACACAAACACAGACACAUAGACUGCUGAGUCCACACACACACACAC